UACCAUAUGGGUUUUAGGAUAUUUAUUUCACUCUCAUAUCGGACGGAAUAUCGAGGCGAUGGUGUUUUUGGCGUUCAUUACUGGACGGGGUAUGGGGACAUUUGUAGGAAAAUUCAGGGAACUCAGGGACUACCCGUAGGCGUAGUAACCAUUUAAUUUUCGGCGUCGAAUCAGGUAAGGACUAAUAAUCCUAUUUUCUAUCAU
rnacentral:lncRNA from 1 species